ensembl:lncRNA
CCACUCCCAAGAUCUACCGGAUCCUGCCUUUCAAUGCCCGCGGGGCCCCGCGGUUGUCCUACCCCACAUUCCUAACGAGGAGGAGCGGAUCAGGGGGAAUGUCCUACAGUUCUUAAGGUACGUUAAGGCUCCCCGCCCCCUACCUAGCAAAAGACAGAGAGGAGAGGAGACUGGUCCACACCAUCAGCGGCAUUCAACUCAAGUCUGUUUAAAGUGAGUCUGUCAUCCCCCAGGAGGUUCUGCAGAGCCAGAUGGGUGGCCAAGGCGGCUAUGGAGGAGGCACUAUGUAAGUUCUGAGAAACGAGAGCUGCUGAAGUUGAUUCUAUCCGUUCAGUCGACUUAUGAAGUUGUAUUCUGUGUCGCAAAAUGCAGAGGUGCAGGGGACCAGCAGCAGCCGGUUCCGCAUCUAUAGCUUCAUGUCUACGCACCUGUCUACGCUCUUUGGCAAUAGAGGCGGGUGUUUCAGAACGUGCGGGUUAAAGAGUAGGAGGCGGCACCGAGGGACGAGGCAGCUUUGAUCUACCUGAUCAACGUGGAGAACCACCAGAACAGCGUGGCCUAUGGGAGGGCCAAGAUGGCCCAGAAAGGAGAACAGGCGGUUCACUAGCUCCUCUCCCUGAAGGCGGCGCCCGUUAGCCCCUCUGCCUUUACCUUCCAGGGGUCCUGGAGGGAGAUGCGACAUCCAAGCGUCCCAAACUUCACCCAGAACCGAGUCCCAGAGCAGAGAGUUAGACAGACGCGGGAGGCCGCCCUGUUCAUGUUCCACGCCACCUCCACCGCCGACAAGUACUACAUGGUGAACCUGAACCCACAGCAGGCGCGAUGUUGGAGGACUUGGCAGGGGAGGCGGUGGUGCCCGUGCCAGGGUCAUAAGCCGGCCCAUCUCCUGCGUUGGCGGAGAAGAAGAGGGAGGCUGGGCCGCAGUGGGCCCCUGCCCCGGCCAUCCAGACCGGGAGGAAGAGGAAGUCCCCGUCUCUGACCCUGACCACCUCUGAGGACGAGGCUGAGUUCCCCUACCAGGAGUCAGGGACCUCUUCUUCCCAGCCCCCUUCACAGGCUGAGCUAGAGGAGAGAAGGAUCAAUACCGUAGCCCUGUGUCACAGAGUUCACCCAUGUUUCACGUUCACAUCCUACCUCAGAAACAUGCCACGACUGCUUACAUGUUGGUCUUUCAUUCUUCUGUUUCUCAAACAGAAGACUCUCUAACUAAGGAGAUAAAAGGACAGGAAGAGGAGGGCCAUCCUCACGAGGAGAGAUCUGAGUAUUGGUAAAUAAUCUAUUUUUGUGGGGCGUUUUAAGUGUAGUUUUAAGGAUUAGAUUAUAGUAAUUGUGUAAUAUAUGUUUGUUGUGUGUAAAUUUUAUUCAAACUAAUGUUUGUUUCUAGUCAAGACAUUUAAAAAAAUAUCUAAGUGUUUAAGCAAUUCAGACAGUGAUUUGGAGGGGCUUUGGCUGUAGGCUAUCGAGCAGAAAUACAGUGACCAGAACAAGUUAAGUGACAACCAAUAUAGACUAUCGGGUUCUCACUUAACUUCUUCAGGUUGCUAUUCUGCUAGAUAGCGUACAGGCAAAGCGACAACCCAAUAGAUAUAUUGGUUGUCACUUUGUCACCCCCCCC